rnacentral:rRNA from 1 species
GCAUGUGGCUUAAUUUGACUCAACGCGGGAAAUCUUACCGGGUCCGGACACACUGAGGAUUGACAGGCAAUAUCUCAUGUUAACGGUAAGUUUACUUACCGCUUAGCAUCGAGUGUUAAAUAUGCUAGUCCUUUCAUGAUUAUGUGAUAGGUGGUGCAUGGCCGUUCUUAGUUCGUGGAGUGAUCUGUCUGCUUAAUUGCGUUUCACUAAGGGCCCAUAAAUUCAAGGUAUGUUAGCUCUCGUCGCUCUAUGGACCCCUUAACUCCAAUAUUCUUAUUGUGUUAAGCGCGUGUCUUUAUUUUAAGAGUUUUAAGACACUGCGCAUGCUGUUGGGCUCUGAAAGCAACGAACGUGACCGCAACGUCUUGUUGCCUUAAACUAGCGUAUAUUGCAAUUUAUUGUAAUAUCGCUUACAGAGGCUAUUUAAAACUAGACGGACCGCUGUUUCUUUCUUAAACCAGAGGAAGGUUGCGGCAAUAACAGGUCUGUGAUGC